GAUGAACGCUAGCGGGAGGCCUAACACAUGCAAGCCGAGCGGUAUUGUUUCUUCGGAAAUGAGAGAGCGGCGUACGGGUGCGGAACACGUGUGCAACCUGCCUUUAUCUGGGGGAUAGCCUUUCGAAAGGAAGAUUAAUACUCCAUAAUAUGUUGAACGGCAUCGUUUAAUAUUGAAAGCUCCGGCGGAUAGAGAUGGGCACGCGCAAGAUUAGCUAGUUGGUGAGGUAACGGCUCACCAAGGCGAUGAUCUUUAGGGGGCCUGAGAGGGUGAUCCCCCACACUGGUACUGAGACACGGACCAGACUCCUACGGGAGGCAGCAGUGAGGAAUAUUGGUCAAUGGGUGCAAGCCUGAACCAGCCAUCCCGCGUGAAGGACGACUGCCCUAUGGGUUGUAAACUUCUUUUGUAUAGGGAUAAACCUACCCUCGUGAGGGUAGCUGAAGGUACUAUACGAAUAAGCACCGGCUAACUCCGUGCCAGCAGCCGCGGUAAUACGGAGGGUGCAAGCGUUAUCCGGAUUUAUUGGGUUUAAAGGGUCCGUAGGCGGACUUAUAAGUCAGUGGUGAAACCCUGUCGCUUAACGAUAGAACUGCCAUUGAUACUGUAAGUCUUGAGUAUAUUUGAGGUAGCUGGAAUAAGUAGUGUAGCGGUGAAAUGCAUAGAUAUUACUUAGAACACCAAUUGCGAAGGCAGGUUACCAAGAUAUAACUGACGCUGAGGGACGAAAGCGUGGGGAGCGAACAGGAUUAGAUACCCUGGUAGUCCACGCCGUAAACGAUGCUAACUCGUUUUUGGGCUUUAGGGUUCAGAGACCAAGCGAAAGUGAUAAGUUAGCCACCUGGGGAGUACGCUCGCAAGAGUGGAACUCAAAGGAAUUGACGGGGGCCCGCACAAGCGGUGGAUUAUGUGGUUUAAUUCGAUGAUACGCGAGGAACCUUACCAAGACUUAAGUGGGAAUUGACAGCUUUAGAAAUAGAGCUUUCUUCGGACAAUUUUCAAGGUGCUGCAUGGUUGUCGUCAGCUCGUGCCGUGAGGUGUUAGGUUAAGUCCUGCAACGAGCGCAACCCCUGUCACUAGUUGCCAUCAUUCAGUUGGGGACUCUAGUGAGACUGCCUACGCAAGUAGAGAGGAAGGUGGGGAUGACGUCAAAUCAUCACGGCCCUUACGUCUUGGGCCACACACGUAAUACAAUGGCCGGUACAGAGGGCAGCUACACAGCGAUGUGAUGCAAAUCUCGAAAGCCGGUCUCAGUUCGGAUUGGAGUCUGCAACUCGACUCUAUGAAGCUGGAAUCGCUAGUAAUCGCGCAUCAGCCAUGGCGCGGUGAAUACGUUCCCGGGCCU
rnacentral:rRNA from 1 species